rnacentral:rRNA from 1 species
UACGUAGGGAGCAAGCGUUGUCCGGAUUUAUUGGGCGUAAAGAGCGUGUAGGCGGCUUUACAGGUCCGUUGUGAAAACUCGAGGCUCAACCUCGAGACGCCGGUGGAAACCGUAAGGCUAGAGUCCGGAAGAGGAGAGUGGAAUUCCUGGUGUAGCGGUGAAAUGCGCAGAUAUCAGGAAGAACACCCGUGGCGAAGGCGGCUCUCUGGGACGUGACUGACGCUGAGACGCGAAAGCGUGGGGAGCGAACAGG